UACGUAGGAGGCUAACGUUAUCCGGAUUUACUGGGCGUAAAGCGCGUGUAGGCGGUUCGGUAAGUUGGACGUGAAAGCUCCCGGCUCAACUGGGAGAGGUCGUUCAAUACUGUCGGACUUGAGGAUGGUAGAGGGAGGUGGAAUUCCGGGUGUAGUGGUGAAAUGCGCAGAUAUCCGGAGGAACACCAGUGGCGAAAGCGGCCUCCUGGACCAUUCCUGACGCUCAGACGCGAAAGCUAGGGUAGCGAACGGGAUUAGAGACCCCGGUAGUCCUAGCUGUAAACGAUGUGAACUUGGCGUCGGUGGGAUUAAAUCCAUCGGUGUCGAAGCUAACGCGAUAAGUUCACCGCCUGAGGACUACGGCCGCAAGGUUAAA
rnacentral:rRNA from 1 species